rnacentral:rRNA from 1 species
GACGAACCGUGCGAACGUUGUUCGGAAUCACUGGGCUUAAAGGGCGCGUAGGCGGCAGGCCAAGUCCGGGGUGAAAGCCCCCGGCUCAACCGGGGAAGUGGCCUUGGAAACUGGCUUGCUCGAGGGAGGUAGGGGUCGAGGGAAGCUUCUGGUGGAGCGGUGAAAUGCGUUGAUAUCAGAAGGAACGCCGGUGGCGAAAGCGCUCGACGUGGACCUUUUCUGACGCUGAGGCGCGAAAGCUAGGGGAGCAAACGGGG